GCUGCGGUAGCUCAGUGGUAGAGCGGAGGAUUGCAGCAAGACAUUCAUCCUCAGGUCCUGUGUUCGAACCACAGCCGCAGCU
rnacentral:tRNA from 1 species